rnacentral:rRNA from 1 species
GAUGAACGCUGACAGAAUGCUUAACACAUGCAAGUCAACUUGAAUUUGGGUUUUUAACUUAGGUUUGGGUGGCGGACGGGUGAGUAACGCGUAAAGAACUUGCCUCACAGCUAGGGACAACAUUUGGAAACGAAUGCUAAUACCUAAUAUUAUGAUAAUAGGGCAUCCUAUAAUUAUGAAAGCUAUAAGCGCUGUGAGAGAGCUUUGCGUCCCAUUAGCUAGUUGGAGAGGUAACGGCUCGCCAAGGCGAUGAUGGGUAGCCGGCCUGAGAGGGUGAUCGGCCAAAAGGGGACGGAGACACGGCCCUUACUCCUACGGGAGGCAGCAGUGGGGAAUAUUGGACAAUGGACCAAGAGUCUGAUCCAGCAAUUCUGUGUGCACGAUGAAGUUUUUCGGAAUGUAAAGUGCUUUCAGUUGGGAAGAAAGAAAUGACGGUACCAACAGAAGAAGUGACGGCUAAAUACGUG